ensembl:lncRNA
GCUCUCUUUCAGGCACUGGAACAAUCCCUCAUGGCAGGCCCAGCUCUAGAAUAUUCUGGUCCCUUCUCCAACAGAUUCUUGACCACACGGUCUCAGUCCCCGCCCUGUACUAAGAGUUAAGACACGUUCUCAGUUCUGUCGCAAAUGGAAUAGAUGUUCCUGCAUGAGGAUCCUUUUCCCAACGCCUGUUCCAGGGAAAUGUGGGCGAAAAACCCAAGUAGAAGAUGAGGUUGCUCUGUCUUGGCACCAGAAAGAAAGGCCUGCCCUUCCUUGGUGGGUCCCCUAUGGACCAGCUCCCCUCCCUCCUCAAGAAUGGGGCUCCAAGUGGUACGUACCUCCAGCCCUGCAGGAGCCCACUCUUUCCAAACCAUUGAGUCAUUUCCUUUCAGGGACUUUCUCAUUAAAACUUUCCUGUUUGCUUUAGCUCUGGACCUCCGUUCUGAGUUACUGUUUCCUUCCCCAUCCCUGCUGGGCUGGAAUUAAUGACCUGGUACCUUCCAGCUCUCCCUCCCUUUGCAGUUUUCCUUCCCACUCUCAUCUUUUGGCUGGAGUCUCCACAGUUUGUGCACAUUUGUGUGAAGCCCCAGAGUUUCUAAAGCUGGGAGAGAAGUGGGGGAUACAGCUCCUCUCCAGCAAGAUAUUGCUUGGAGAAUAAAUUGGAAAGAUGAGUAGCCUAACUGCGAAGAGUCACCAGGGAGAAAGCCCUGUGACCAAGAGCUUGUCCCAGACCCACCUGACACAACCUUCUAUUGUUUAUUCACUUUGUCACAUUGCCAUUAUGACAAGCUUCUGGAAGAUUUGCUUUGGGUAAUGGGUUCACCCCUCAAAUCCCAUCAUAUUGGCAGCCCCCACCCCAGUAAGUGUGAGGCUCAUGCAAUCUAGGGACUGCUGAUGUGGCUUUGCAGAAUUCCAAAACCAGCAUGCUGCCACUUGGAAAACCUGCUUUCAAAGUCGGCUUGUGAUUGCUCAUCAUCACCAACUUGGUGACUUCCAUAGCACAGUAGCAGAGCAGGGGGUUACACUUGAGAUAUUGGAGAAACCAUGCCAUCUGAAUAGCUGUUUCUGCACCAGGUUGACUGUUGGCAUUGAGAGCCAUCAAGAGAAACAAGGAAGCAUAGCUUCACUCCCGGGGCCACGUAUCUUCACUCCUGAAUAAUUAUUUGCUCCAGCCCUUGGACACCUUUCAUUCUCAGGUGUAAAUGCAGAGAAGAGAGAAGUUAAUGACCACUUAUCUUGUACCAUCUUGGGAAGAGUGACUUCUGGUGCUAAGUAUCAGGAAACGUCCGAGGGAAUGAUUUCCAGGUAAGUAUCCUCAGCUUAGGAAUCAAACACUUCUGCUUUCACUCACUACAGUUUAAUAGAAAUAGCACCAAUAACAUGUGUUAUGUUGUUCGAUCAAGCCUUGGAGCCUGGAGGCAUGCUGAUUUCUCUUGUCUCUGGAGGAGGGUUCAUUACCAAGUUUUCUUCCAGCUGACUAGCGGUCUGGGCUGUCCCCUUAUUACAUGCUGACAGCUUGGGCAGAGAAGGAGAAGGUUAGAUUGACAGCUGCUCUAUCACUCACUAACCAGGCGGCCUCGAGUGUGUUCUUUGAUCUCCCAAACCAGUGUUUACAGGCAUAAAACAUAAUAAUCAUAUUCCUCUGGGUACAGAGAAGUAGCUCUGAUGAAGUAAGGUGGAUACGAAUGGAUUUUGGAGUCAGAGACCAGAGUUUAAAGUCUACACGUGUACAUUGGUCAGUCACCAGGCUCCUAUGCCAGGUAAAAGAAAGAAAGCAACGCAAUUUUCCUCAUAGGUUAUUUUAAAGAUUAAAUGCUGAAAAGCACUUAGCACGGUGCUGGUGAGAAAGACACACCCGAGAGUUCAUUCUUGUUACUAAUGUUUGUUAUUAAUACGAUCAGCUACAGUGGUAGGCAGGAUCCCCUGAUGUGGUGCUCUGUUUGAUCUCCUUGGGCAAAGCGGGGCCUGUGAAUAUGAUGUAUCAUUCCCAUGGCUGUGGUAUGUUAUAUGGUGAAAGGGAGGUCAUGGGAUGGACCUGACCUGGUCAGUUUAAAAGCACAGAGCUUUCUCCACUGGUCACAGGGGAGAAGUCCUAGAAGAGGGCUUCUGUUGGCAUGGAAGAAAGCAAACAUCCAUGCUGUGAACGGCCUACAGGAACCACAGGGCAAAGAAUACCAGCGCCCUCUGGGAGCCAGGCACGAUCCCCAGAUGACGGCUAGUAGCACAUGGGGGAACAUAUUCCUACUAGUUGACCAGAAACUGAAUUUUGCCAACAAUCCAGAGGCAAGAGCUUCGAAGGGGACCCAGGAUGAGAACUCAGAAUGGCCGGAGGCCUGACUGCAGCCUUGUGAGUGAGACCCUGAGCAGGGAUCUAGGGAAGCUGUGCUCAGACUUCCGAUCCGUGGAAAAUGGAAGAGAAUAAGUUUGUGAUGCUUUAGUCCACUUAGUCUGUGAUGGUUUGUUCACAGUCACAGAAGACUAAUAUCCUACCUAGAGUUCAUCAGCACCGUUGCUGUUCUCACUGUGCCUAGUUCUGGUCCUAAUUGCUGUUAUCUGCAGCAGUACCUGGCUGCAGGAAUCAUCACACUGCAAAAAUGGCAAGAGAUGCUGUUUUCCGGCACAGCCCCCUUAGACUGGAAGUGGUCGCUCUGACAUCUUUUGCUACUGGGUGAUGGUCACGGGGAGGUGUGGUUUAUCAACCUCCGUGGCUUUAGAAACGCACACAAAUAUCAUCAAAGCUGAGGCUUUCUUGGAAGUCUUGACUCAUUCUGUGAAAGCCCUUUUCUUCAGGGGCUUCCUGUUUGAUACUUCAAGUCUCUCACCUACCAACACUUCUCAGCACCAGAAACCAAACUUAGCCAAAUGAUUGAAUAGUUUUAGGUCCUCACUGAAUUUGCAGCACACUGGGAAAGGCAGAUGUUAAACAAGUCACUGCACAAACAUAGGAGUAUAAACAGUAUGAUGUGCCUUAAAGAAGAAGCAUUGAUUACCAGAGAAACUUAAUCCUGGAAUUUCAGGGAUGGCUUUUCCCGAGAAAAUGAUCCUUGCCGUGAGAUCAGGAAGAUGCAUAGGGAUUGACUCUGCCAAGGCACAAGAUCAGGUGGGGGAUCACAGGGAGCCACUCGUGUACAGGUCCUGAGGCAGGGAAGGUCAUGGCCAUUUUAAGAAAUGGCAAGACUGGUGAGGUAGCAAGGAGAAGGGUUAUGUGUGAGUGAAGGAUGGAAAGAGAGUGGAACUAGAUCUUGAAGGGCUUGUUAGGUCAUGCUAAGGAUUUCAGCCUCAGUCGGGUUUUCCCAUUCAAAAGACCAUCCCUGGGAUUUCUCUGGUCAUCCAACAGUUGGGACUCUGUGCUUCCACUGCAAGGGACUCAAGUUCAAUCCCUGGUCAAGAAACUAUGAUCCCUCAUGCCAUGUAAUGUGGCCUAAAGAAAUAAAUUAAUAAAUGUGAGUUUAAAAAAAAAAAGGACCAUGCCUAGCUAUGAUAGAGAAAAGGGGUUGUAGGGGGGAAGGACACUUGUGAAAAUACUAGUUGGGAGGCAAUUGCAGCCAUCCAGCCAGGAGUUCAGGGAGGCUCUGACAAAGAUCGUGAUGUGGACAAGGAGAGAAGUUAGAUAAAAACAGAUCUAAUUUGGGGGGCUUUAACUUUGCCAGUUUUAAAAAAUUAAGAAAACAUUUUCAGUCAACCCUACCAUUCUUUGAAGAAUUCACAUUCAUUCACUUACUUAUUCAAUGAAUAUGUAUUGUGUUAUUUUCCUGUGCCAGGCACUAUUCUAAGCAUGGGAAUAUAGUAAUGAGCCUGCAAGGAAUUUAGAUCAUAAGCAAGAAAGAUAAGGAAUAUAUAAAAUGUUUUUGUUAGCAAAAAAAUGCUAAGAAGAAAGUUAAAAGGGGAAAUAGGAAGUGUUAGAGUAAGAUUGCUUUAUAUAUAUCCAGACAAGAUCUCACUAGGAAGGUGAUAUUUUUUUUCCUAUCAUGAUUAAAACUUUUUUUAUUGAAGUAUAGCUUGAUUUAUAAUGUCAUGUUAGUCUCAGGUGUACAGUACAGGGAUUUAGUCAUAC